GAUGAACGCUGGCGGCGUGCCUAAUACAUGCAAGUCGAGCGAACAGACGAGGAGCUUGCUCCUCUGACGUUAGCGGCGGACGGGUGAGUAACACGUGGAUAACCUACCUAUAAGACUGGGAUAACUUCGGGAAACCGGAGCUAAUACCGGAUAACAUGUUGAACCGCAUGGUUCAACAGUGAAAGACGGUCUUGCUGUCACUUAUAGAUGGAUCCGCGCCGCAUUAGCUAGUUGGUAAGGUAACGGCUUACCAAGGCAACGAUGCGUAGCCGACCUGAGAGGGUGAUCGGCCACACUGGAACUGAGACACGGUCCAGACUCCUACGGGAGGCAGCAGUAGGGAAUCUUCCGCAAUGGGCGAAAGCCUGACGGAGCAACGACGCGUGAGUGAAGAAGGUCUUCGGAUCGUAAAACUCUGUUAUUAGGGAAGAACAAAUGUGUAAGUAACUAUGCACGUCUUGACGGUACCUAAUCAGAAAGCCACGGCUAACUACGUG
rnacentral:rRNA from 1 species